GGGAAACUCCCCUAUAAAUGGGCUGAAUGGUACUGGUGGCUCUGUUUUGUUAGCAAAGAAGUGCUGCUAAAAAUUCAGAUGGCAGUUCUUCACUGGUUUCACUGGGUAAUGGAAGAUUUUAUGGAAGUAUAAUGUUCAUCUGGAGAUCAUGCAGGUCCAUCUUCAAUGCUGUUUCAAGCUCAAGGCUCCUCUGAGGUCCUGAAUGAUUGCUGCUACAGUUGGACGAGCAGGGUAUCUGACUGGCCUUUCUUGAAAGUGAUGAAGGCUUGUCCUGCAAACUGUUGAGAAAUGUAUUUACUUUGCAGUUUUCAGUGUUUCUGAAGACAGUGGACAGAUCUGUAAAUCAUUUAGUGCAGAAUAAAACAUUUGAAAAUAUUUGUUUUUGCUUGAAGUAACAUGAAAUGAUCAAUAAAAAUAUAUUUCAGUUUG